rnacentral:lncRNA from 1 species
UCACUCAAACGCAAUUUUUAUAAACCCUAAGUUCAUUCAUAAACCCUAAGUUCAUCCAUAAAUCCUAAGUUCAUCCAUAAACCCUAAGUUCAUCCAUAAACCCUAAGUUCAUCUAGAAACCCUAAGUUCAUCCAUAAAUCCUAAGUUCAUCCAUAAACCCUAAGUUCAUCCAUAAACCCUAAGUUCAUCUAGAAACCCUAAGUUCAUCCAUAAAUCCUAAGUUCAUCCAUAAACCCUAAGUUCAUUCAUCCUAAAUUUUCCUUCAUCAAUCAUCCAUCCCUUAAAUCUCAUUCAUCCUAUAACAUUCAUUCAUUCAAAGUUUCAUUCAUCCAAUCAUAAGUCAACUUAUCAUCCAACUGACAAUUCGUGCAAUUGACCUAAUUCAUCCAAGUUUCAUCCUAAAAAUUAAAGAAAAUUGGAAGUCGCCACCUUCCAAGUCAUGGUAGCGACCCCCUUGCACGAAUUCCACUACAAUGGUUGCAUCACUAACUUGUUUAUAACAAACUUUGCUAUUUUAGAAAGUAGACUUACAAGCGCUUGUCCUCCAACAAAAUUCAAUGCAAAACAACAAUUAAGCUAAAAGAAAUCUUGCCUCAAAGUUGCCUGACUUUCUCGGCCUAGUCAGAGCACCCCUGGCCACAAAAACCCUUGCCCUUGCUCCAUUCCAGUUGUGCAAUGCAUAUGCUUUAGCAUUCCAGAAACUAGAAUUGAAGCCGCAUCACCUCCAAUAAUUUUUUCUUGAAAAUCUUGAGUGAAUUCCAAGAUAUGACCUUCCAAAGUAGCUUGAGUUGGCGGAGUGCUACAUCUUCACCACGGCCGACUCCUCUUCACUCCAACCACCAUAACUUCCUUGGCCUUUACUCAAUCUAAGCGUGCAAAUAGUCCUUGCAAAGCUGACAACAAGAACCAUCUUCCACAAAAGUUUCAGCUCCAAAUUCAAUAUUGUCUACCAACACUCGCCUUCCAAAGUCGGACCUCCAGAUCUGGCCGGCAGCUGACCUCCUUGUCACUAAAACCACCACAAUUUUCUUGUUUUCUCUCCAAACAAAGCGUGUCUACUGUCCCGAGGAAGCUAACGACAAGAUCUAACUAUUGGUAAAGUUUGACAUUCUAUUUCCAGAUAACUAAUACACUACAGCUGCGCAAUUGCAGCUCUAUAGAAACAAGGGUACGUGGGGAUGCAAUUUGGCAUGGCUUCGCCCCCCAAAAAAAAAGAGAGAGAGAGCGAGUGUGGCCACCUCCACCCUCUUAUCCAAGUAGGAAGAGACCAAAGGGUGGCAGCCACAUCUCCACCAUCCGAAUCCACCAACCCUAAUCAAGAUCAAGGGCCCACAUUAACCCUAAGUCCUAAACCCGAUUUUAGUGCUGGACAUGCCCAAAAUUCCCAAUUUGAAGCGUUUUUUGACAAAAAUAACUCCACCAAUGUGUUUAAAACAUAUUUAAACAUCAAGUUUGACUAUUCAUACAUCCAAAUCUAAGUUCUAGAUUAUUAAGAACCAAUAAUUUGACAAACCCAUUACAAUAAAUUUACUUCUAAUUAUUUUCUUCUCCUUUUUCUUCUUCUUCUCCUUAUCCCUCUUCAUCUUCUUCCUUCUUUCUUCUUGGCCUUUUUUUUUUUUGUUUUUUGUUUUUUUUUUUUUUUUUCUUUUGACUCUUUUUCUUAUCUUUCCCACUACUCCCUUCUCCCUUGAUUUUUCUUUCCACUACUAAUCAUCAAUAAGCCACUAACAUUAAUGUCUAUAACUAACUUAUUAUAACAAAAUAUAAUCAAAAUCCUCAUUUUUUUAGAUUUUUUUAGUUUAACCAACAAUGUGAACUAACUUUUGGGCUCACAUAAUUGGCGACCAUCAAGGGAUGAAUCCAACUUGUACUUGCCAAUUUUUGUCCUUUAAAGUAUUUUCACCAUGCCAGUUCAUACUAUCGCCUUGUCAUAAGAUAGAAAGGUGGAGCUCUUGCCCAAAAUUGCGCUUCCUCAUGUCUUAUAUUCUUUACACCUGCUACCUGAUGUUUGUGUGGGAAACAAUUGACCAUUCAAGGUCUCCAAUUGUACGAAGUUGUUUAAAAACACCUCCUUGACAAGAUAAGGACCCAACCAUAUGGCAUCAAACUUGCUUGGAAAGUCGAUCUUCCAAGCAUCUUGUAACAAUACUAGCAUACCAGGUUGCAAGACCCGAGUCUUGUUCCGUUUAUCAAACACGACCUUGCGCCGCCUCUGGAUGGCCUCAAUGUGUUGAAUCCCUCGUCUUCUGCUCUCAUCCAACGCCUCGAGCUCGUACAACCUUGUCUUUAAAGAUUGUCUGUCAGUCAAUCUGGAAUCUACUGCAAUCCAAAAGGAUGGAACCUCAAACUCAAUUGGUAAAACUGCUUCCAGUCCAUAGACUAGAGAGAAUGGCGUAGCCUGCGUGGUGACCUUGAAUGUUGUUCUAUAUGCCCAUAAGGCGGCUGGCAGUUUCACAUCUCAAUCACGCUUGGAGUCUCUAACAGUUUUCCUCAAUAUAGUACCAAGUAUUUGGUUGACUCGCUUUGUCUGACCAUUGGUUUGAGGGUGAUAGGAUGUAGUCUUCCGGUGAUCAAUCUGGAAUCGCUUAGUCAUGGAUUCAAUCACCUCGUUGAGGAAAUGAGUACCUCGAUCACUCACAAGGAUCUUCGGGACUCCAAAUCUAGUAAUUACAUUCUCAAAGAGAAAGAUUGCAGCAUUCUUGGCAUCAUUUGUUCUCACAGCCUUGGCUUCAGCCCACUUAGUAGGAUAUUCAGUGGCCACUACAAUAUAUGCCAUUCCUUGAGAUGAAUGAGGAUGAAUCUCGCCCACGUAAUCGAUGCCCCACUUCUCGAAUGGCACCAAUCGUAGGGAAAUGUGAAGCGGCAACUGCAUGUGAAUGUCAUUCCUAGCAAAUCUCUGACAUGCAUCACAACGCCUCACAUAGGCAUGAGCGUCCUUGAAGAGUGUUGGCCAGUAAUAACUAGCCCUAAGAAUUUUUUGAUUAGUCAAUUGGCCAGAAAAAUGUCCGCCACACGCACUGUUAUGACAAGCCGACAAAAUGGAAGGAACUUCAUCUUCCAUCACACAACGUCUUAACACUCCAUCCAAUCCACUUCGAUACAACCGGUUCCCUAACACCACAAAAUGACGACUAUUGACCCGAAUCUUCCGCCUCUCGUCCUUGGAUAAAUCCACUGGCAAUUGUUGAGUAGUCAAGAACUCAAUAAUCCUAGAAUACCAUGCUGAUCUAGCUGUCACCAAGAAAAGACUCUCGUCUAUCAAUCUAUCAUCAAUCGGGUGGGUCUCCAUUCCUCCAAGCAAUCUCGACAUGUGAUCUGCUUGUUUGUGUACGGAUCCAGUUUGUACUCCACAGUGUAAUCAAACUCUUGUAGCAACAAGACCCAUCUAGCUAGCCGACCGCUCAACUCAGGUUUGUUAACCAAAUACUUGAUGGCCAUAUGAUCCACAUAAAAAACCACUUUGUUGCUCAACAGAUAAUGUCUAAACUUCUUAGUUGAGAACACCAUGGCUAGACAUUCCCUCUCAGUGGUGGAAUAAUUUUUCUCUGCAAGAUUUAAUUGCCUACUAGCAUAGGCAAUUGGAUGAUCCUUGCCCUUGCUUGGGCCUUCUACAAGUUGGCACAGAAUGCUACCAACUGCCACUGCACUUGCAUCACAAUAAAUGUGGAAAGGCAAGUCCCACCUCAAGGGCCUCAAUAUUGGAUAAGAAGACAAUUUCUUCUUUAGAACCUCGAAAGCAUCAUUAUAAGCCUGAGUCCAUAUAAAUUUGGUGCCUUUCUUCUGAAGGCUAGUGAUAGGAAGGAUAAUAGUAGUGUAAUCUUCAAUCAACUCCCUAUACCAACCGGUGUGUCCCAAUACACGUUGCACUUCCUUCACACUGAUAGGAGGUGAUAAAUUCUGAAUUACCUUCACCUUUUCUGGCUCGGGCUCACGACCCCUCUUACUAACCAUAUAUCCCAAUAAAAUGCCUCUAGUCAAGGCAAGAUAGGUUUUUUCUGGAUUCAGGGCUAUUCGAGCUUUUUUGCACCUCUCUAAGCUUUCUUUCACCAAAUGAAUGUGAGAAUCUGCAUCAGAUUGGGUACUGAAAUCAUCAAUGAACACGAUCAUUGAUUUGUAUAACAAGUCUGAGAAGAUAGAUAUCACCAGACAUUAGAAAGUAGCAGGGGCGUUACAUAAUCCAAAUGGCAUCACAUGCCACACAAACGUCCCCCAAGGUGUUGUAAAUGUAGUCUUGUGUCGAUCUUCAGGUGCAAUAGACACUUGGUUGUAUCCAGAAUAUCCAUCCAUAAAUGUGUAUAAAUCGUGACCUGCCACUUCUUCCAAGAUGCUAGUGAUAAAUGGCAAGGGAAAGUGGUCUUUUUGGGUGCAAAAAUUCAACUUCCUAUAAUCCACACACACCCUAAGUUUACUAUUCUUCUUCUUUACAAGCACCAUGGGAGAGACCCAAUCUGUGAUCUCAACAGGUUUAAUAAAACCUGCUUGGAGUAAUUUCUCCAGUUCCUCUUUCACAAUCAAUUGAAGCUAAGGAUUCAUUCUCCUCUCCUUUUGCCUGAUCGGCACUACACCGGUCAUCAAAGAAAUUCGAUGUUCUACAAUCUCAAGAGGAAUCCCCUUUAACUCCUUGUAAGACCAUGCAAAGACCUCCCGAUACUCUCUUACCAACUCACAGUAGGCCUUGAUAUCUUCAUCCUCUAGUUGGCUUCCCAUCUUCAUUUGUCUUGAUUCUUCUCUUUCAAACUCCACUGUCACAUACUUCCACUCUUCCUUAGCAACGUGAGAUUGCUCAUUAUUAUCUCGAUACCAAUCCGAAGGCACAUUGGGAUAACUGAAAACGUCUUCACCAAUCGUAAUUCCCAAAGAACCAGUCUUAAAUUUCAAUGAUCCUCCCAAAUGCUCACUUUCCUCUAAAACCUCUACUCCUUCAACAUCCUCUAUUCCAAUCAAAUGGACAUCUACCUCAAUUAAAGGUGUCAAACCAUCGUCCAACUCCAUUCCAAUGAAAUUCAAUCCUGCCAUCAAUUCUGAUGAAGAAUCAGGGUUGUCUUGGAGCCACUUGGCAUACUCUCCAUUGUCUGACCAAUGGUAGAGAUUUGGACCAAGAUACUUCAAGGUUUGAUCUCAGCUUCAGACGUCAUCCCAUCCAUGGAUUUUAAUGGUGUGCCUUCUCCAAUAGAUAUGGUAUCAACCACCUCGAGUCCUAUCAAAGGCUUGAUUCUAACUUUAGUGGAGUUUUCAUAUGGACCGUAAACUAUAGAGGGCUUAUCACCACCCCACAUGAUGGUGGCAUUGGCCAUCCUCAACCACAGACGACCUAAGAGAAGUGGAAAAGAUUCUUUGGAAGUGUGCAUCCUGAUAACAUGGAAGGUCACUAAGUAAUCCUCCCCUCUUGUAGAGAUUUUACAAUUCGUAAUCUGGCCUAAAGGCCUAGCAGGACUCUGAUCUGCUAUGUUUAAUACAAAUGGUGAAGGUCCGGUUAAAUUCAACCUCAACUUCUCCAUGGUAUGAAGUGGCAUGAUGUUAAGCCCACUACCUCCAUCAAUGAGCACAUUCGGAACCACCUUGUCCACGAUAGUGACCUCGAUCUCCACUGCCUUCACAUCCACUGGCCUAAUAGAUGCUUGUACCCUAGCCACUGUCCUCUUCUGAGUCUUCUUCUUCCUCUUCGUCCUAGGCAAUCCUUCUUUCAAACUCUUCCUGUCACGGACAUACAUAUAAUUACCUAUAUGAAUAGAUAAAAGUAUGUAAAAGUAGGUUAAUUGUGUAAUAUCUUCUAGAGAAGCUUCUUAGAAGCUUCAUAGACGCUGCUUUGACUUUAUAGGAGUCUAUAGUUGACUUUUAGGUUAGAAACUUGGUCAACAAGUUAGCCAUGUGCCACGCAUGUUGGAAGCUUAAAGAACAAGCUAACUACGUGGUCCAUCCAUAGAAAACUUGCCUUGCAAGCAAAGGCAUGUGGCCUAGAAAGUCAACAUAUAUUGCAGGUCUUAUAGAACAUCGCCACGUGGCUUCUAGUUAGAUAGUAUAUAUAGAGGCAAGAGUGAAGCCCUCUUCACUCUUGUCAACUCCUUUCUUGCUUCUAGUCUAGUUUCAAGGGUCUCUAGUUUUCUUGUAUUUUGGCAAUAGCCAUUCCAGUUUCUUUCUUAAUAUACAUAUUUUUAUUUUGUCCUAUUUCUUUUUGAGAAAAGUCUCACUUACUCUUUAGCUUUCAUCGAGUUCUUGUCCCUGACACUUCCUCAUCAAAGGAGAUAUCUCCAAUAGUUGAGCAAUUGAGAUGUCAGCCUUUAUCCUCCGCAAGUCCCUCCAGAGAUCAUAUUUCUGGUAAGAGGUUGGCGUCGUAUGACCCAACCCUCUAAACUCCUCCUCUGGAAUAUCUGGACCCUCCCAUUCACCCGGUUCUAAGCCUUUACCUGGAUCAGAGCCUUCAGAUGACCUUUCAUCACCUACCGCGGCGCCUACCUCCCUUGUAAUUCUUACCGCCUCCUUUGCAGCCGCCUCAAGAGCUACUAAAUCCAACAACUCUUCAGACUCACUACUAUCUGAGUUUUUUUCAUCGAUUGGUGAUUGUCUAUGAGCUUGCCCUCGGGUAAUCAUAGCCAAAGUAGCAUUCUCAUGGCCACCGCCUCCGUCUUUCUUCAAUUCGUGGGACACUAAAUUAGAAGGUGCUUCAUGUUUUUCAAUCACCACUGUGGUCUUUGCUAGAGAUGGCGCAGGACCCUUCAAUAAGACCUCUUCUGCUACUCUAACAUCUUGCUUAGAAGAUGGACCUUGUUUCUGGUUUGCAUAGUUUCGACAGCCGCCUUGUUGAUUUUGGGCAACUGGGAUAUAACCUUGGCGGGUUUGUAACCCUUCUGGAGGUUGAUGGUUUUGUCUAAAAUCUUCAUAGUUGUAGUAGAGAUUAGGAGGUUUUAGGCCCCUCUGAUCAUCACCAUGAGGUCGUCUCUGAUCUCUCAUGUUAUUUCGCGCAUUCUCAUAAGGAUUUGUUAUUGGUGGUGGUAGUUGAAUUACCUUAUCAGGUUGUCUACAUUCAUGGGUAGGGUGAUUGCCACCACAAUUGCCACACGGCCAUGGUUGGCCAUCAUCCCAGCACUGACCCGGCUCAUGCCAUCUCCUGCAAAGCUCAUGGUACUCCUUCCGAGGCUUGCCACUUCUACCAUAUCCUUGAGGACCACCUUGAUAACCUCUUUGCCGCUGCUGAGGUCCUCUAUCUCUUCCAUAGCCCUGUGUUGGCUGGUAUGGUUGAGGAUUUGGAUUAUCUUGAGGCCUUACUCGGCACUGAAGAGAUGAAUGCCCAUUUUGGCGACAAGUAGUGCCCCAAACCCCCGAGUUAUGAUUACCAGACUCUAUUCGAGGAGGUGGGGUGUUUGAAUUUUGAUUCUUUACCAUGAAUGCCAUCUGCUCAGUCAAGGCUUGGAUCUGCUUCAUCAUGGAGUCUUGAAAACCUUCUUGUUCGGCCUGUAUUUUCUUCUCCAAGUCCUCCACUCUCCUCUCCAAUUGUGGCUCUGGUAACGCCAAUAAGAGUACCGGAGCUCUGGUGGCCGUGGGCAUGACAUUGUAAUAUUGGGCACCAUUGUCGACUAUCGGAGGUGUACUUGAUGUGCUUGGUCCUACCGCUUGGCUUACGAGAUUAAUUGGAAUAAAUCCCAGGAUAUACUCAUCUUCCUUCCUCCAAUGCCUUUCAUAACUUCUCUCGAUUAAAUCUACAAUGUGCGCCGCUGUUUUGGCUUCCUCCAAAGUGGCUGGGUUUCUCUCUAAUACUCCCUUGAUUGUAGAUCGAUUAGCAAAUCCUUCAAUGAAGAAUUGCUUUAACGUAUCACCAUUCAACAAUCCUCCUACAUAACGCAUGCAGACCAAGUCAAACCUCCUGAUGUAGUUAGCCAUUUCCUCGUCUCUUUGCUGUCGUACCGCUCCCAGUGCUCUCAAGGCUGUACUUUAUCCAACCUCCGGCCUAAAGUGGUUUAAGAAGGCUACUUGCAACUGGGACCACGUGAUAAAAUGUCCCUCAUCAUGGUCCCGGUACCAAUUGUAAGCCUCACCAUGUAAGGUUCCGGGGAACCAAACCAGGUAAUACCCCUCGUUCCCAAUGAGGGAUGUUGUCAAAAUCUCUAUGCACCUCUCCAUGUGUAGGGUUGAAUCCUCGUCCUUGGUGCCAUAGAACUUGGGGAGAUUCCUUGGAACUGUGGCCGCUAAUAGCCCUACUGGCAUAGCCACGGGCAAACCUCGUGGCUUAACUAAGGGAUCCAAAGCUGGAAGUCGCUCCGUCGCCAUCUCGUGAACAAAUCCUUCGACCACAGGCACAAAGUCCAAGGUCCUAUCCUGUUCUCUUAUUUCCCUAAGGUUCACGUCUCCAAACACUCCGUCUUCAGGGUCUACAUGUUCUAUCUCUAACUCCUCCACUUCCAACUCCUCCAAUAGCUCGCUGCCCCCGACAUCUCCUAAAGCCUUUUCUAAAUUCCUUCUAAUGUCUCCUCCAAGAAAUUCUUCAUUGCUUCUACUAUUAAUGAGUGUAUUCCGAGAAGGGGCUGCUUCUUUGUUAUCCACGACCUUGCCCCCACGUCUUUCAAUAUGUUCAAGUCCUUGGUUCAAAGUAGGUUUUUGAGAUCUAGUUUUUGGGAACAUCUAAACGUCCUCACUGACCUUCUCUCAUUACCUACCAACCCUUUUUUUUUUUUUUUUUUUUUUUUUUUUGAAAUUUUUAAAUUGAUAAUUAAUAAUCUAGCCUACCCUCAGGUGGAUAGAGAACGCAAACCACCAAGAUAGUAUUUACGGGCGAUGACAUGGAAUUCACCAAGACAAACCAGCCCGCUAGUCCAAUCUUGGCAUACGGUACAACCUAUGUUGUGGGGCUUACCCGGUCAGUAAACGAGACACUGUGAUUCUGCCUUCGUGGCCAGAACCCCCCUCAUUCUCAAUUCAGCUCACUGCCGAGGCAUUACCUACUAACAAGGCAACGACAACGACGAAUUACAAUCCUAAGUUAACAUAGAUCAUUCAAUGUAUGAUGGCUUACCUCAUGCAAUUCCAGCUUCCUGCACAAUUAGUAUACCACCGGCCUCUCGAUCACAUGCUAAGAUUUCUAGCAAAAACUACCAUAGAUAUCCCCAGGACCCACAUACCUUCUGCUGUGCUCCUUCCAAUCACGACCCCAUCAUCUUGCUCCUAUUAUCUCCUUCCUCCAUGUAAUCAAUCAUCUCAACUCAAAAAAAAAAAAAAAAAAAAAAAAAAAAAAAAAUGUUAAACAACGUCUCUAAGAUCGGCUUCCAACAAACGCACCAUUUAUGUGAGCUAAAUUCCUCCACCCUUAAUUGCGUUUAGUAGUCAAGUGGAUUAACUUCACUCACAUGCAAUUUUUAUAAACCCUAAGUUCAUUCAUAAACCCUAAGUUCAUCCAUAAAUCCUAAGUUCAUCCAUAAACCCUAAGUUCAUCCAUAAACCCUAAGUUCAUCCAUAAAUCCUAAGUUCAUCCAUAAACCCUAAGUUCAUUCAUCCUAAAUUUUCCUUCAUCAAUCAUCCAUCCCUUAAAUCUCAUUCAUCCUAUAACAUUCAUUCAUUCAAAGUUUCAUUCAUCCAAUCAUAAGUCAACUUAUCAUCCAACUGACAAUUCGUGCAAUUGACCUAAUUCAUCCAAGAUUCAUCCUAAAAAUUAAAGAAAAUUGGAAGUCGCCACCUUCCAAGUCAUGGUAGCGACCCCCUUGCACGAAUUCCACUACAAUGGUUGCAUCACUAACUUGUUUAUAACAAGCUUUGCUAUUUUAGAAAGUAGACUUACAAGCGCUUGUCCUCCAACAAAAUUCAAUGCAAAACAACAAUUAAGCUAAAAGAAAUCUUGCCUCAAAGUUGCCUGACUUUCUCGGCCUAGUCAGAGCACCCCUGGCCACAAAAACCCUUGCCCUUGCUCCAUUCCAGUUGUGCAAUGCAUAUGCUUUAGCAUUCCAGAAACUAGAAUUGAAGCCGCAUCACCUCCAAUAAUUUUUUCUUGAAAAUCUUGAGUGAAUUCCAAGAUAUGACCUUCCAAAGUAGCUUGAGUUGGCGGAGUGCUACAUCUUCACCACGGCCGACUCCUCUUCACUCCAACCACCAUAACUUCCUUGGCCUUUACUCAAUCUAAGCGUGCAAAUAGUCCUUGCAAAGCUGACAACAAGAACCAUCUUCCACAAAAGUUUCAGCUCCAAAUUCAAUAUUUUCUGCCAACACUCGCCUUCCAAAGUCGGACCUCCAGAUCUGGCCGGCAGCUGACCUCCUUGUCACUAAAACCACCACAAUUUUCUUGUUUUCUCUCCAAACAAAGCGUGUCUACUGUCCCGAGGAAGCUAACGACAAGAUCUAACUAUUGGUAAAGUUUGACAUUCUAUUUCCAGAUAACUAAUACACUACAGCUGCGCAAUUGCAGCUCUAUAGAAACAAGGGUACGUGGGGAUGCAAUUUGGCAUGGCUUCGCCCCCAAAAAAAAAAGAGAG